GGAAGAGGUCUGAUCAGGUGAAAUAAAAGCACCUGUGUGGGUUUACCUCAGGUGUGCAGGGCCUUGACAGGAGCCUCUCAGCCUCAUGUUAUCCGGUUGCUAAUGUUGUCCAGGAGAAGGAAAACCACCCAAAGCUGCAUUGGAGAAGCCUCGCAAAGGAUCCUCCGGUCCCACACUUGCACCUCUGCAGACAGCCCUUCCCGAAGGUGCCGGCUGGACAGGAGUCCUCGCAGUACCGUCCGAUGAAGCCCGGAGGACACUGACACGCCCCCUUGACGGGAUCGCAGAGGGCUCCGUUCUCACACCUGCACUGCAAACUGCAGCCUGGCCCCCAGUGUUUGUCAUCGCAGGCUGAAAGAGCAGCCUUUACUCCUGCAGUUAAACAGCGACCCACACUCACACCAGGGAUGUUCUCACUUUGACUGCCCACAUUUUCCAGCGAUUGCCAGUCAGCUUCCAGUAACUUGCCCUCUAUUCUAAACACUGAGUCAAACCUGCUCUGCUGAUGCUGGAAGUGAAAUAAAAACACCGAAGCAAAAUA